GCGUGGCUCAGUUGGUUAGAGCUUAGUGCUGCUAACAGCAAGGUUGCUGGUUUGAUCCCAGUUUGGGACA